CCGAAGAGGAAUUCGCUGUGUGAACCCCUUUCCAGUGUCUGCUCCAUUACUACCUCUGGCUGUUGGAAGAGGAACCGCUGUGGGAACUUCCUAUGCAGCCUGACGAAGAAGAGAGCUGGAUCAGCCUAUGCUUUUUAGUUUAAGAUUUAGACUAUUUUAAUUCAAUAAAAUACAACGUUUAAUACUGAUUACCCUGUCUGGUCUCGUGGUGUCUUUGAGUAACUCCUCGAGGUGGUACGUUCAAUAGGGGUGGUGUGAGACACGGGAGGAGGCCACCCCGGCCUGUGACAGAACUUUUUAUUAUUUUGACAAACCUCCAUUUCAAAUUAUUUCCCUUGAGGUGUUUGUCCACAGAAUUUUUCUCAACACAACGACAUGACUUCUUUGACUCAAAUAAAGCAACAUCUCUGGUGUACGUAAGCAUCUACAAUGUGUGCACUGUUAGACGUUUCUGUAAUUUCCACAGUUAUUUACUGUAUAUCACCCAGUGUAAUACUCCAAAUUCCCUUUACAGUAAAUAACUGUAAUACCCUUUGCAUCAUGGGAAUUUUCUGUGAUGUCAGACCCCACAUACAGAGACUUACUGUAUUUUUUUAAAUUGCUGUAUACUACUGUAACGGUCUCUUUGGCGCCAUUAUACUGAGGUCGUUUUAUUUUCCUCAUUUCUUACAUUUGGAUUGACACAAUUUGCCCUACACCGUGUCUACAACGCCGCAACAGCUUGGGACUGACUACAGGAUGUGUUACAUCGCUUCUAAUGAUUGGAAAAUUCGUUUGUACUUUGUGUCAGAAACAGCGUGAGCGCUUGGAGUACAUCUGUACGUCAGAAAUAUACCGGGGCAUCACUUUACUGUCCGCAUCCACUGUAGAUAGUGUAUAUAUAAUGGGUUCUAUAUUGUUGUCUGUUGACAAGUUGCGUCGCUCCGCGCCACUAGAGUCCGAGGAAGACAAGGAAGCAGCGGGGCAGCACGGCGGAUUUUGCCCGGGGAUGAACUCGCGAGAGUGGAAGAGCUCCGGAGAACAUCUGCGCUGUGUGUCGAUGCACCUUACGAGAGAAUAAGCAAGGCAACUGCAAUGAAGCAUCAAGAAAGACAUGAGCAGGCCAGCCACCCUGAGACUGAUAAUUCAUGAGAAGACAUUUCUGUCAAAGUGGAUGGUGAGCAAAGAUGGUGGCCACGUUUUGGAGCAGCACCUGGGUUUUGCAGAGGGCUAUGUAUUUUUUGGCUGUUUGUCUUUUUC